CUGUCUCUCAAGAUACGACACUCUCAUUAUUAAUAUUCUCUUAACUGCAAAACGGUUAUAAAUAUAGCCGUCUGAGAUUGUUGUUAUUAGUUCACAAAGAUUUGUUUUACUGGCACAUAUAUCUGCUUGAAGAUAUUUGCUUGAAGAUACCAUUUCAAACAUUUGAGUAGUGUUUCAACUGAUCGUCGCAUCAAUAAUUUUAUUAGAGGAACUAUGGAUACUGUUGCAUAGCCUAUGUGAUACAUAUUAUCCUAUUUAUAAAUUUUGGAGUUUCUACACGUAUGCUGUGUCUAUCCGUCAUCCUGAUGAUUUGGAGACGAUACUAAACAGUACCAAGCACAUCGAGAAAGGUCUUCCGUAUAACAUGUUACAUUCAUGGCUCGGUACAGGACUUCUCACGAGCACAGGUAACAUAAUGGCAUUAAUAU